rnacentral:misc_RNA from 1 species
AAGUCGUAACAAGGUUUCCGUAGGUGAACCUGCGGAAGGAUCAUUAGAAUGAGAGCCGGACAUGUCGUGGCGAAACGACGUCACGGCUAGCCAGAUGCCAAGUAAGCCGGCCCGUAAACCCUCCACCCUUGUGUAUUAUUCUUCUGUUGCUUUGGCAGGCCGCGGACCCUCUGGGGGAGCGCUGGCUUCGGCUGGAGAGUGCCUGCCAGAGGACCAAACUCUGUAAUUUAAUGCCGUCUGAGUACUACGAAAAUAGUUAAAA